AGGAAAAGAAACCAACAGGGAUUGCCCCAGUAACGGCGAGUGAAGCGGCAACAGCUCAAAUUUGAAAUCUGGCCCCCCGGCCCGAGUUGUAAUUUGGAGAGGAUGCUUCUGGCGCGGCGCCGUCCGAGUUCCUUGGAACAGGACGCCACAGAGGGUGAGAGCCCCGUACGGACGGACGCCUAGCCUCUACGAAGCUCCUUCGACGAGUCGAGUAGUUUGGGAAUGCUGCUCAAAAUGGGAGGUAAAUUUCUUCUAAAGCUAAAUACCGGCCAGAGACCGAUAGCGCACAAGUAGAGUGAUCGAAAGAUGAAAAGCACUUUGAAAAGAGGGUUAAAAAGUACGUGAAAUUGUUGAAAGGGAAGCGCCUGUGACCAGACUUGCGCCCCGCGGACCACCCGGCGUUCUCGCCGGUGCACUCUGCGGUGCGCAGGCCAGCAUCGGUUCUCCCAGGGGGACAAAGGCCGCGGGAACGUAGCUCCUUCGGGAGUGUUAUAGCCCGCGGCGGCAUGCCCCUGGGGGGACCGAGGACCGCGCUUCGGCAAGGAUGCUGUCGUAAUGGUCACCAGCGACCCGUCU
rnacentral:rRNA from 1 species